rnacentral:rRNA from 1 species
UUGACCUCGGAUCAGGUAGGACUACCCGCUGAACUUAAGCAUAUCAAUAAGCGGAGGAAAAGAAACCAACAGGGAUUGCCCCAGUAACGGCGAGUGAAGCGGCAACAGCUCAGAUUUGGAAUCUGGCCCCCAGGGCCCGAGUUGUAAUCUGGAGAGGAUGCUUCUGGCGCGGCGCCUUCCGAGUUCCCUGGAACGGGACGCCGGAGAGGGUGAGAGCCCCGUACGGUUGGACGCCUAGCCUUUGUGAAGCUCCUUCGACGAGUCGAGUAGUUUGGGAAUGCUGCUCAAAAUGGGAGGUAAAUUUCUUCUAAAGCUAAAUACCGGCCAGAGACCGAUAGCGCACAAGUAGAGUGAUCGAAAGAUGAAAAGCACUUUGAAAAGAGGGUCAAACAGUACGUGAAAUUGUUGAAAGGGAAGCGCCCGUGGCCAGACUUGUGCCCCGCGGACCACCCGGCGCCCUUAGCGCCGGUGCACUCCGCGGGGCGCAGGCCAGCAUCGGUUUUCCUAGGGGGAUAAAGGCGGCGGGAA